CCCCAGAACGAUCCUUCCUUCUCUCAGCAGCAGGGACCCACGUGGAGCCCAUUAGCAGCACUCCUAGGAGAUGCUGGCUGAUGCUGGGGAAGCUGCCAAGGCACACACCCACCACGGGAGAGGUCCCAGAGGCCAGCCCACCCGGCACAGGGCUGAGCAGGCAUCACAGGCAGCCUGGAUGCUCCCAGCAGUACCCAGCCACAACAAGAGCCUUUGGACAAACUUUGGCUUCCCACAAACAGACCCAUGCAGUCCUGCAGACUGACCCUCUGGCUUCCAAACUGCUCUUUCUGAGUGAAUGGUGAAAUGGCCCCUGAGGUUCCUGCCCUGGCUCCCCCAGCUUUGCUUUUACCUUCCAACCCUGCAGACGUGUUGAAACCCUCAGAUCUGAGACCAGCAAGAUAUGAUUCAGCAAGAACACUAUAGCACCUUUUAGGCAAUAUUUCAGCCACAAGAGGCUUCUGCUUCUGCGAAGGGAGGAGAGACCUGUCAUCUGCAUGCUGGUGUUUAUAGUUUGAGCCUGUUUGCUCUUGUUAACUCUGAGUUACUAAAUUUAUAAGGGAGCAUGUAAAUCAGCCUUGGCCCUUCACAGGCCUUGAGAUGUUAUCUGCAGGCUGGGCUGUGCACAGAGGGCCUGAGCUCAGCUUUCAGAAUAAAUGAGUUUUGGCUGUAGCCACGGAGCCAUCUGUGCUGCCAGGCUCCAAGCAUCGU